rnacentral:rRNA from 1 species
UUAAGGUCUAAUCUGCCCGAUGAUAAAUUGAAUGGCCGCGAUAUUUUGAUCGUGCGAAGGUAGCAUAAUCAUUAGCUUUUUAAUUGAAAGCUGGAAUGAACGAUUGGACAAAAAGCUUACUGUCUCUAUUUUAUUAUUUGAAUUUUAUUUUUUAGUUAAAAAGCUUAAAUUUUUUUGUAAGACGAGAAGACCCUAUAGAGUUUUUGAUAUUUUAGUAUUUUGAAUUGAUUUAAGAAUUAAAUCUUUGGAAUUUAUAAGUAUUUAGUUGGGGUGACGGAAAAAUUUAAUAAACUUUUUCUUUUUGUAAUAUUAAUUUAUAGAUUUUUGAUUUAUUUUUUUAGUUAUAAGAUAAAAUUACCUUAGGGAUAACAGCGUUAUUUUCUUUAAGAGCUCAUAUCGAAAGGAAAGAUUGCGACCUCGAUGUUGGAUUAAAGUUUAAGUUUGGUGUAGAAGCUAAAUAUUUUAGUCUGUUCGACUAUUAAAACUUUACAUGAUCUGAGUUUAAACCGGCGUGAGCCAGGUUGGUUUCUAUCUUUAAUGUAUUUAUAUAUUUUAGUACGAAAGGACCAAAUAUUAUUUAAAUUAAUUUAAUUUUGACUUAUAUU